rnacentral:rRNA from 1 species
UUGGGGGCACAUGCGCAUGGGCGAAGCCUGCGCAGCGCGCCGCGUGUGGGAUGACGGCCUUCGGGUUGUAAACCCUGUCGGGGGGGACGACUGCGCCGCAGGCGAGUGACGGUACCUCCAAGGAAGCACCGGCUAACUCCGUGCCAGCAGCCGCGGUAAUACGGAGGGUGCGAGCGUUGUCCGGAAUCACUGGGCGUAAAGGGCGCGUAGGCGGCCUGGUAAGUAGGGGGUGAAAUCCUGCGGCUUAACCGCAGGGCUGCCUUCUAAACUGUCAGGCUCGAGCACAGUAGAGGCAGGUGGAAUUCCCGGUGUAGCGGUGGAAUGCGUAGAGAUCGGGAAGAACAUCAGUGGCGAAGGCGGCCUGCUGGGCUGUUGCUGACGCUGAGGCGCGACAGCGUGGGGAGCAAACAGGAUUAGAUACCCUGGUAGUCCACGCCGUAAACGAUGGGCACUAGGCGUCGGGGGGAGCGACCCUCCCGGUGCCGUCGCUAACGCAGUAAGUGCCCCGCCUGGGGAGUACG